AAAGAGCUGCGCAUUGACGGCGCGUAAUGGAAGAAAGUCAGUGGCGCAUCUCCUCACAGAGUCGAACCUCCCCCUCAUGAACUCUAACACAACUCCAUCUACAUCACGAGAGAAGGUAAGAUGCGGGUUUACAUCAGCGGUUCUCAACAGGGGGCCGGGGACAACAAGGGGGCCCCAGCUGACUUCCAAGGGGGCCUCAAGUGGUGUAGCGCAUGCAAAAAGCCGUCUUGUCAUGUAUCCAGACAUCAGGAAGUGAUGUCACAGACUAGACCCCGCAGACCCUCAUGUGUGAAACUGUGUGUCAAGCAGUUUUAGAAGUUGAUACUCGAAUGAAAGCCAACAGAGAACUCCAUCAAAUCUCCUGAGCUCUGAAAGAGUUUUCUCAGGGAAACGGCAGCGUGGCUCUUUCAUGCUCUGCUCUUCAGACUCUGCCACGUCACACUGGACCGUUUUUCCACUCGCUGGUCUUUUAUUUCUUCGUUAUUUGUUGCCACAAACCUGAGCACUGGCGACUAACAAGGGCAUGUGAGAGUUUGUUACACAUCAUGCUGUAAACGUCUCAUGGUCUCCAAACUUCUGUUCCCUUUGGUUGAUAAUGGAUCAGAUUGUGGCGGUGACCGUCUCCUGUCUGAAAGACAUCUAUUAUUGAUAUUAUUGAGCAGUCAGACAGUGUGAGUUGGAUGUAUAGAUUUGACCCGCUGCAGAUGAAGAACGUCUGAAAGGAGUCGACUCUUCAGCAGACGUUCCGGUAAAACCCCAAAAUGGUUUCCCUGACUGAUGUCAUUUAGAUACCACAAAGAACUUUUCUCCAGCCUUCAGAGGAACGUCAGAGAAACCUAAACACGAAUCUAAAACACUUCUGACGAAAACAAGGAACUUUAUUAAUUCUCUGAAGAUACAAAUUGUAUGUUCUGAUUUGAACGAGAAGAUGCUUUACUGAACCUUUACUAAAGCAAAACAGGAACACAAAAAGAAGAUAGUUUGAGAAAUGUCUCGAUGGUUUUGUGUUCAUGCAAUGGAAUGGGGGGCAGUUUGGUAUAUAUUCUUUUGUGUUCUGAGGGUUUGGAAUGGCAUGAGGAUGAAUAAAUUAUUUUUGGUCGAGCUAUUUGUAAGAAUUUGAGAACACAGACGUCUGGAGCUGCAAUGCAGACAAACUGUGUUUGAUGUGUGGACAGAACAUUGAGAAAGAGGAACUAAAAAAUGUUUCAAUGUAAUUAUAGAAUUGCAAUACAAACAAACACAAAAGAUUCAAUUCUAAACAGUUUUGCAGGAUCAUAACCCUUUCCUGCUUGCACCUUGUGUACACUUAACAGUUUCUGAAGGCGUCUUCCGCUUCAUCAAGUGCUUGCAAUACGAAAGAUAUCAUUUUAAAAUAGAAAGCAUUUUUUGGGGGUUGCACAUUAGAACACAAACACACAGCCUAGAUGGCCCUUAACACAUAAUUGACAACCGCAUUUCCUUCGGAUAUACAUCUGGGCUUCCUAAGAUGAGCUGAUGAUCAUGUUUAUGCAGUGAUGUGUGUGCUGAUGCAGGUUAUAUAUAAAUAGCUUUUAAACAUGUAUGUAUCGCUCAUCUGCAGAUGUUUAAUGGCCUGCAAAUACACAUUGAUCA